rnacentral:rRNA from 1 species
GGGUUGUGAGGUUAAGCGACUAAGCGUACACGGUGGAUGCCCUGGCAGUCAGAGGCGAUGAAGGACGUGCUAAUCUGCGAAAAGCGUCGGUAAGGUGAUAUGAACCGUUAUAACCGGCGAUGUCCGAAUGGGGAAACCCAGUGCAAUUCGUUGCACUAUCGUUAACUGAAUACAUAGGUUAACGAGGCGAACCGGGGGAACUGAAACAUCUAAGUACCCCGAGGAAAAGAAAUCAACCGAGAUUCCCCCAGUAGCGGCGAGCGAACGGGGAGCAGCCCAGAGUCUGAAUCAGCUUGUGUGUUAGUGGAACGGUCUGGAAAGUCCGACGGUACAGGGUGAUAGUCCCGUACACCAAAAUGCACAGGUUGUGAACUCGAAGAGUAGGGCGGGACACGUGGUAUCCUGUCUGAAUAUGGGGGGACCAUCCUCCAAGGCUAAAUACUCCUGACUGACCGAUAGUGAACCAGUACCGUGAGGGAAAGGCGAAAAGAACCCCGGCGAGGGGAGUGAAAAAGAACCUGAAACCGUGUACGUACAAGCAGUGGGAGCACCUUCGGGUGUGACUGCGUACCUUUUGUAUAAUGGGUCAGCGACUUAUAUUCUGUAGCAAGGUUAACCGUAUAGGGGAGCCGCAGGGAAACCGAGUCUUAACUGGGCGUUAAGUUGCAGGGUAUAGACCCGAAACCCGGUGAUCUAGCCAUGGGCAGGUUGAAGGUUGGGUAACACUAACUGGAGGACCGAACCGACUAAUGUUGAAAAAUUAGCGGAUGACUUGUGGCUGGGGGUGAAAGGCCAAUCAAACCGGGAGAUAGCUGGUUCUCCCCGAAAGCUAUUUAGGUAGCGCCUCGUGAACUCAUCUUCGGGGGUAGAGCACUGUUUCGGCUAGGGGGUCAUCCCGACUUACCAACCCGAUGCAAACUACGAAUACCGAAGAAUGUUAUCACGGGAGACACACGGCGGGUGCUAACGUCCGUCGUGAAGAGGGAAACAACCCAGACCGCCAGCUAAGGUCCCAAAGUCAUGGUUAAGUGGGAAACGAUGUGGGAAGGCACAGACAGCCAGGAUGUUGGCUUAGAAGCAGCCAUCAUUUAAAGAAAGCGUAAUAGCUCACUGGUCGAGUCGGCCUGCGCGGAAGAUGUAACGGGGCUAAACCAUGCACCGAAGCUGCGGCAGCGACACUAUGUGUUGUUGGGUAGGGGAGCGUUCUGUAAGCCUGCGAAGGUG